rnacentral:lncRNA from 1 species
CUACUAGGGAAAAGCCUAUACACAGAAUCUUAGCAGCAGCGCAGUUCAAAAUAGAGCGCUGCUGGUAAGUAGUUGUAGCGCGCUUUGCGUAAACUCGCUGCUGCUAAAUAUUUAGCAGUAGCGCGCUCGGCCAGAAACAGUAUCAGUAGUUGUAGCGCGCUUUGCGUAAACUCGCUGCUGCUACAAAUAUCGACCGGCGGUGUUCCCCCACCUCUAAGUAGCAGUAGCGCGGUCCCAGAAACAGCGCUACUGCUAAGUGCAUAGUAGUAGCGCGGUUUCCUCGAGAUCGCUGCUGGUAAGUUUCAAAUUGCCGCCAUUUUUUGUCCCAGUUAGCAGUAGCGCCUUACCUGAAAGCGCGUUGCUGCUAAGUUUUUAGCAGCAGCGCGGUUUCUCACCAGCGCUACUGCUAACCCCAGCAACCCCCAAACCGUCCCUCCCCUCCCCCUUGCUUUUUUCCCUUCCCCCUACCUCCCCCUCUCCUCUCUUCCCUCCACCACAUGCUCCCACUCUCACUUUUUUUCCCUUCCCCCUACCUCCCCCUCUCCUCUCUUCCCUCCACCACAUGCUCCCACUCUCACUCUUCUUCUUCUCAAUACUUCUCCCCCAUUACUCCCUCUCUUCUCUAUCCACCUUCUCUCUCUUCAUUACUCCUACAUAACUACACCACCUCCAUUAAUACAUCUCCUUUCUCUUUUUCCUUCCCCCUCCACUAGUUGAAGUUGUCUCCUUCCAAAUUAGGUAGCUAGGUAGAUGUAGGAUUUAGUUAAGUGACCUAUUUGCCCCCUAACUAGAUCUAUCUUUGUCAAGAAGAGCUUAAUUUGUGCACUUUUGAUCUCCCUACAACAUCAUCUUCGGCCAUCAAGAUAGAGGUGAUGAAACUUUCAUGCUUUUGCAAAAUGGAAAUGUGUUUAUGUGUGUGUGAUAUGUUUGUGGAAAUUGUGUGUGUGGCAUGAGUUGACGCCGCCAAAUUGUGCUUUUGAGUUGCCUAUGUUUUGCCGAAAUGUCGAUUUAUUUCCGUUUCGGCGAAUUCCGGGCAAACUCUAGAUCCAUAUAUGUCCUAUUUUUAGGGAAGGUCAUGCCAAAUUUUUUUAUGACUUUGAUGCAUGCAUGCAUUUUUACAAUCAAUUUUUUUAUUAUUACCGUGCAGAGUUGACGAUGGUCAGUGGAACGAUGGUGGACAGGUGGUUGCGGUCGGCGGUGCAAGACAUGAAAGAAAAUAACCGGACAGAGGUUUUAUGUCCGUGUCAAAAAUGCAAAGGAAUAGUUUGGCUCGACCCCCAUGACGAUGGUCGUGUCGAAGCGCACCUGCUCAUGACUAGUUUCAUGGAUGGCUAUACUAGGUGGAUAAUUGAAGAUGAGGAUGACGAUGUUGAGGAUGCCGACGGGGCAGGAAAUGAUGACACGGGGCAAGACGAAGAGAUGAUCGAUAAUGGCGGCGGGGAAGAGGCCGGACAUGGCGGUGGAGAAGGGGCCGGACAUGGCGGAGGAGAAGGGGCCGGACAUGGCGGCGGAGAGAACGACAUGGACUCCACGCAGCAGAGUUCGUCGGUACUAAGUUCAAUUGUGCGGGACCCUCAUGUUCAAGCAUUGCUUCGCAAGGAGACGAGUACUGAGAGAGCUGCUUCUAGAGAGGAGGCUAAGCUGGAGCAACUGGUGGUAGACUCGAACACUCCAUUGUAUGAUGGUUGCAAUCCUGAGGUGACCCGGUUGAGUUUCACGCUCCAACUCCUGAAGACGAAGGCUAAAAACAAAUGGACCGACACUAGCCUCGAUGAGCAUCUCAAGUACCUAAAGGAUGUUCUUCCCGCGGGUAAUCUAUGUCCUACUAGUGUUGAUGAGGCCAAGAAGAUCGUGUGCCCUCUUGAUCUGCCACACGUUAGAUACCAUGCAUGCAUCAACGAUUGCUUAAUUUAUCGGAAGGAGCACGCGGAAAAAACAAGCUGUCCGGUGUGCAAUGCUUCUCGAUACAAGAAGGCCGGGAAGAAAUGUCCCCAGAAAGUUGUAUGGUACUUACCGAUCACUCCCCGUCUCCAGAGGUAUUUUGUAGAUCCCAAGGAAGCAAAGCUAAUGCGCUGGCACGCGGAGAGGAAGAAGCCUGACGAUGGAGAUGAUCCGAAGCUGAGACACGUGAAGGAUGGAAGCCAGUGGAGAGCGUUGAACAGCUUCUAUCGGUAUUUUGAAUGUGAUGCAAGGAACAUCGUGCUCGGCGCGUGUACCGAUGGCAUGAAUCCGUUUGGCAACCAGAACACCAACCAUAGUACAUGGCCCGUGUUUGUAUGGAUGUACAACCUCCCCCCCUGGUUGUGCAUGAAAUCGAAGUACAUUCACAUGAGAAUGUUAUUCAAGGGCCCAAACAACCAGGAAAUAAUAUUAAUUUGUAUCUGGGGCUACUUCAAGAGGAGUUAGACACGUUAUGGAAAACACCGGCCAAGACAUGGGACGCCAGCAAAGGUGAGUAUUUCAACAUGAGAGCCGCGCUGAUCACGACAGUGCAGGACUAUCUCGGUUACGGAUAUGUGGCAGGCCAGGUGUGCCAUGGAUAUUGCGGAUGCACGCGGUGCAUGGAUGAUACAACGUCUCAGCAGCUAACGUCAAGGAAAGAUGGCGGGUCUGGGAAAAUCGUGUACAUGGGGCAUCGAAGAUGGCUUGAACAGGACGACCCGUGGAGAAACCGUGGAGAUCUAUUCAAUGGUCACGCUGAGCAUCGAGGACCUCCACGUAAGCGGAGCGGUGCCGAAAUCGAUGAGCUGUUGAAAAACUGGAAUGAGUGCCCCGCGCCGGGAAAGACGAUGAGAAAGGCGCCAGAGCCGCUGCUGAAGGUAUGGAAGACGAGGUCUGUGUUCUGGGACUUGGAGUACUGGCACAAACUCGAUACACCUCAUUGCCUAGAUCAAAUGCAUAUCUGUAAGAAUGUCCUUGAGAGCUUGCUCGCAACACUGAUGAACAUGCCGGAUAAGACCAAGGAUGGGCCGAAGGCAAGAAAAGACUUGCAAGAUUUGAAAAUCAGGGAAGAUCUGCACAUGCCGCCCCGUAAAAUGUCAGACGAGACAGAGACGGAGACAGAGGCACGGGAGAAGAAGGGCAAGAAAUUAAAGAAAGAAGAUUAUUGCCCCCCCUCUUGCUUCACCUUAAGUCAGGCUGAGAUCAAUCAAUUCUUUAAGUGCCUUACGGGAGUGAAAGUUAGUUCCGGUUACUGUGGCAAGAUAAGCAGAUAUCUAGACACGGACAAGAAAAGGUUCAGCGGGAUGAAGUCUCAUGACUGUCAUGUGAUGAUGACGCAGAUACUACCUGUUGCCCUUAGAGGGAUAAUGGACAAGCACGUCCGUGAAACGCUUAUUGGUCUCUGCAACUUUUUUGACGUCAUCUCUCGAAAGUCGAUCAGUGUGAAGCAGCUCCAAAGGCUACAGGAAGAGAUCGUUGUGAUACUGAAUGAGCUUGAGAUGUACUUCCCGCCCGCGUUCUUCGACGUGAUGGUGCAUCUGUGUGUCCAUAUUGUGGAUGACAUAAUAGACCUGGGGCCGUCAUUCCUGCACAACAUGAUGCCGUUUGAGAGGAUGAAUGGGAUCAUCAAAGGAUUCGUUCGUAACAUGUCCCGUCCGGAUGGAAGCAUCGUCCAGGGCUAUUUGGCACAAGAGUGCAUCUCUUUCUGUGAGAAUUUUCUAUAUGGUGCAGACCAGCCGCCUGGUGUUAGUGUUGGUUUGCCCGUUAACAAGCACGAUGGGAGGCUCGAAGGAGAUGGUCACUGUAACGGUCGCAGGGAACUGCACGUGGCAUACUCAGAUCGACGCAGCGAUUUUGACAGAGCAAACUUGGUAGUGCUACAACACCUAGACGAGGUAGAUCCUUUCGUGGCACUGCACAAAGAAAUUAUCGCAAAGAAGUAUCGUGAUCGGGGGGUAUGCAGGACGGACGCCGAAGUUACUAGAGAGCACAACUCCACUUUCCUGCAUUGGUUCAAAGAGCAUAUUAUUGCUAAUCCCCCGGAGGAGGGCUCUAAGGACGGAUUGCUCAUAUACGCCUUAGCACAUGGCCCCUCGCCCAACCUCGUAACCUAUCAGGCAUAUGAUAUCAACGGAUACACGUUCUACACGGAGGCAAAAGAUAUGGACAGUGAUGAUCAGAACUCAGGGGUGACGAUGGAAUGCAUGACCGGCAGCGACAACGGCACAACUGAACGAUUUUAUGGAAGGGUCGAGGAGAUCUGGGAGCUUGACUACUCUGGACUGCACAACACGACGAUGUUCCGUGUCAGAUGGGCUAAGAAUGUCGAAAGAGAAAGACGGAUGUUCACUACCAUGACUAUACCCGACGCCAAGAGUGCUACCGUCAACGCUAUCGCAAAAAACGAGCCAUGGGUACACGCUAAGCACGUGACACAAUGCUUCUUCAUAACUGACUCGCGCAAUCCCAGCCGUGUUGUCGUGAGGAGAGGCAAAAAGAACAUCAUUGGAAUGGAUGGAGUCGCCAACGAGGAAGACUAUGAUCAGUACGGCAACCCAAUGAGGGAAGAUGACGACGAUGAUGAAGUAUACGUCAAAAGAAGAAUCAAUACUACGUUACCUAAGAAAAAUCGCACUCCAUGGAAAAGGCAAAGUCACAAUGAGGGGCUCAAUUAUUCUUCGACGAACAAGAAGGGAAAGAAGCUGACUCAAAAACGAAAACGUCAGCACUGAGGAAACGUAUGUUAUGGGUCCAAUGAUGUGUAAUAGAUAUAUGUUCCUAUUUUGUAUACACACUUAGCCAUAUGAUGUGUAAUAUAUAUGUUCCUAUUUUGCAUACAUAUUUAACCGUCAAAUGAUGCAAUAUAUAUCGCCCUCCCUUCGUUCACUGCCCUCGGGAAAUAAAAGUGGGAUAAAAUAAAGGAAAAGAAAAAUGAAAACUGGCAGUAGCGACGGCAGUAGCAGCGCGUUUCCACAAAACCGCUGCUGCUAUAUACCAUAGUAGCAGCGCGUUUCUUAUAAACCGCUGCCGCUACAUACCAUAGUAGUAGCGCGUUUCCACAAAACCGCUGCUACUACAUACCAUAGUAGUAGCGCGUUUCUGCAUAACGCGCUACUGCUACGUCCACUUAACCCAAAAUUUUCACUCGCGCAGCUUCAUCCCGCCACAUUUCCCCCCAAAUCCCCACUCUCUCUCCCGUCGCUCCACCGCGCCCCCGUCGCUCCGCCGCGCCCGACCCGGCCCCGGCGCUCGCCCCCGACUCCGCCGGNNNNNNNNNNNNNNNNNNNNNNNNNNNNNNNNNNNNNNNNNNNNNNNNNNNNNNNNNNNNNNNNNNNNNNNNNNNNNNNNNNNNNNNNNNNNNNNNNNNNNNNNNNNNNNNNNNNNNNNNNNNNNNNNNNNNNNNNNNNNNNNCGGCGCGCUCGCCCCCGACCCGUCGGCCCUCGCCUCCCUCCUCGCCCCUGCACUCUCUGUAAACUCCCCCCCUCUCUGCUAGGGUUCAUGUUAAUUAAUUAGGUUAUCUAUUUAGUUAUGAAUUUAGCUAGGUUUCAAAAUUAGCUGAAUUUAUAUGGAAAUUUGAACUGGACAUGUGAUAUGUGCAUAUGUCAUGUUUUGGACAUGUCAUGUUUGGAAAAUGAUCCGAGUGGCCUAUGUUACGCCGAAAUGUUGAUUCAUUUCCGUUUCGGUGAAUUUCAGGCGCUCGAUAUGUCCAUUUUUUAGCAAAGGUCAUGCCGAAAUUUCCCAUGAAUAAAGGCAUGAUUUGUGCUACAUAGUUGGCAUAUCGAGUGCUGGCACAUAGAUUUCUUUUUACGUCAUUUCUCAUUUAUUCAUACUUUUAGAAAUAAAUGAGGCCACUUAAUCAUAGGAAACAUGUCGAACAACGAAGAAACUGGGCCUUCUGACCAAGAUGCAGACGAGAUGGAUUAUGAUGGUGAACAAGAGUACCUCGACUAUUUGACUGCUAAGCAAGGUUUGCAGGUCGGCCUCGAUGAUGGUACUGACGCCGACAUCGACACCGACGGCGCCGGCACCGACGGCGCCGGCACCGAUGGCGGCGCCGAGACCGGUGGGGAAGGUACCGGCGGGGAAGGUACCGGCCUCGAUGCCGAUACCGAAAAGAGGAAGCAUAAGAAGCAGAGGAUAUGAAAACCUAACAAACUAGGGAUUGGACGACUUGUGAUCACAAAGAUGGCACCUGGCAAGUUUGAGCCGUUAUAGCCGGAAGAACCUCGCAAGUGCUAUGGGAACCAAGUAGGAUGCAUCCUACGGGAAUGCGCGAGCAUCAACGACGAUGACUUAAGGAGUAAAGAACAUUUGACGCAGUUGCUCCUAACGAAGUUGCACAAGAGAUUCAAGUUCCCCGACCGGGAUGAUAACAUAGAACAACCGUGGGAUGAUCCGAAGAUGAAAAAGAUUAACAAUCACGCCAUGGGCAUGUUCAGCAAUGAUUUGGCCUCCUGGAAAGGGAGGGUGAAACGAGCUAUUGAGGCUGAUGAACCCCUGUCCAAGAUUCUGGAGGAAAAUCCGACACUUACGGAAGAGGAGUUCGAAAAGUUCAAGGACACUUGCGCUACCGAGGCAGCCAAGGCUAAGGCUGCGAAAUUCAAAAGCCUUCAGCUCCGGAACACGGGGAAGCAUCGCCUCGGAAGCCGUGGCUACCUCGGUAAAAGGCCCAUAUGGGAUAAGGAGGACGCGGAACGUGAAGCCGCGGGUCUCCCAGACCCCUUCGCGAAGUUCACCAACCCCUUGGAGCAUGACUUCAUUAGGGCCCGCUACAAGUGGGACAAGGAGAAAAAGGUUUUUUACACGGACAAGAUCACGAGGAAAUUGAUUAGACUACUGGAGAAGCAACACCGGCUUGCAGCCGAAAGCCCUACUUCUCCGAUGAGGCCCAAGUGGGACACCCCUCUCAACCGGGCCUUGAACGAACUUAAGGGACUCCCGUUGGACCAGCGGCCGCAAUAUGGUCGUGUGCACGGCGCUGGAGACGGCGCCACGUGGAAGGUGUUUUACAACGACGGCCCGGAGGCCAAGAAGCAGAAAAAGAAGUUUAGUCAGGCAGACAUCGACGCAAAGGUGAAGCUUGCGGUCGAGAAAAAAGCAGCUGAGGACGCGAAAAAAGCAGCCGAGGACAAAUAUGAGUUGCUACAGCAGGCAGUCAAUGCAGCUGUAACUGCCUGCAGAAAUGAUUUCGCUACUAACUUGGUUCCAGUUAUCAUCAACUGGGCGAAGGAAAAUCCAGACAAGACGGUACAUGAUUUCCCGAUGCCCAGUUUCGUCGCGAGCAACUCCAUGAACAACAACACCAUCGCACCAUCACUUGCUCAAGCAACCGAGCCUCCUCUCACAGCCGCUCCCGCUCAUAGCAGCCCGUCCUCAGUCUCAGGCGCGCUAGGUGGGCCUUCGUCUUUGGCUGAGCUUGACGCCGUCACGGUAAUUACAUGUCGCACCAACAUAUAUAUAUAUAGAUAAUAUUCCAUUUUUGUUGCCUUUCGGUUGUUUUACACCACAAACAUAUGUGUUUGCAGGCGAAAGAAACCCCAUGCACCAUACUCUACUUGAUCAAAGGCCAGAAGGUGGACGUGGGAAAGGGGAUGAUAAUGGACCCCUCUCAACGCACAUUCCACAACCACCCGAUCCCCGCUGGGCACUUCAGGGUUAGCUUGACCAGUGUGAAAUCGGGGCACGAGGAUUUACCUCCUCCAGUACAGCAUGUGGGAGCGGACGACGAGACCCCGCCGCGGAUUGGACGAUGCAAGGGUUGGGUGCUGCUAUGGCCGAAGAAUCUUAUUCGUCUGGAGCCGGCCGAGAGCACACCAAUAACUACCACACAUCAACAAGCAUGUGCGGAGACCACCACCCCACCUACGCAAUUACCAGCUCCUGUAGUAGUGCCGGGUGAGAGCGGCGGACGACAUGAUGAAGGGGGUGCAAUAGUACUGGCUGAUGUACCUGUAGAACAGAGAAUGGAUGAUGAGACGGAGGUCGACCCUAUGGAUUACCUCAAUACAAACGCGUAUGACUGUGACAUAGAUAUGAUGAGUCAACCAUAUGACGAAUCGGGCUAUCAGCUUGCUAAUGAGGAUAUGGAUGAUAUGCCCGGGCAGGGCCGUACCAUGGAAUGCAAAAAGUCUCUCUUCAUGAAAUCCUCACAGGACACGCCUGAAGAUGCCGCCUCAACACAGGCUCAACUAGCCGGGCGCGAGGGUCGUACAGUACUUAGCCCGGGAACACUUGGGCAGGGGUUAAGGAAGGGUCUGGAAGGUGUGCCCAAGAAAAAGGAGAGGAAGAGAUCGGGGAAGGUAACUGCCUCCAAACAAGCCAGAGCACACAGCAGCCAGACGAUGCAUUCUGAAGAGCGUGUACCCGUGAAAGGUGCAGUCAUGUUCCAUCUCACGGGCGAGCCGAUGCUACCGCCGAAACCGCUGGAGGCACUAUCAGGGGAUCUCAGGAGACUGCACGACCAUGUGCUGUCGACUGAGAAAAGCCUACUAGCCUCAAAGGAUCCAGGAUAUCCGACAUACGCGGCUCGUGUGCCUGAGGGGAAGUGCUACGUCGACACACGGCCCGCGGAGGUGUUCUUCCUGCGGUUUGACCAUAUCUUUGAGAUGUUUCUAACAAGGCGGCUUGAUUUUACUAUCGUCCGCCUUUUUGCGCUACAUAUGAGCUCCGUCGUGAAGAGUGAAGAAGUCUCGCAAAUCUGUGUGGCGGAUCCGUACUACAUGCACGAGUCUUUCUUGAGUCUCGGCGACUUUGAGCGUGAAACUGCUAGGGAGUACCUCCAAAACUUCAUGGUACAGAAUAAGGACCGGGAAAUUGUCCUCGUGCCUUAUCAUCCAAAGUAAGUCAGUUCCGGACAACCCUUUCGUACAUUUCAAUCAUUCCUUCUCUCUCAUAUGGGGAAUAAUUUGAGGUGUCUUUUCCCCGCAGCAACGGGCGCGCCGUUCUUAUCGUUCUUUACCCGCAAGUCUCCCACGCCGUGUAUUUUGACCCUUCGAGAGACUACGAGAAAAAGGACUACACCCACAUAAUGAAUAUUCUAGAUGAUGCUCUCCAAGGCUUCAGCUAUAGAGGUGGCCACGUGCAUAUCAGGAAACAAAGGAACAAGAAGAUGGGUUUCGCGCAUAAAACUAACUUCUCCUGCAUCCAUGUCCCAAAACCAAGCAAGAAGGAUGGAUUCUACAUCGUCCAUCUCAUGAUUCAGUUCAACACGGAUCACCAAAAGCUUCGCAUUAACAGCAGAAAUGAUGAUCAUAUCCACAAGUGGCUAGAAUCUCAUGGAGAAGCGAAUUAUAAACUUAGAGAUGACUUCUUUCGCAUCCAAAGCGACAUUGCGACGAUCAUCAUGAAAGAAGUCGUCGAUGAGAAGGGGAUGUUCCACCACGGCCCUAUAUCGCGAGCUGACGUCCGAACUCGCAUAGGCAUGCAACGUCUAGACCUCACGUCGUUCAAGCAGCUAGGGUUCGUCCUCGAUGAUAUGGAAGGAUGGAACUUCUAGUGAGUUAUGAUGCCGAUGAUGAUGAUAUGUGUCGGUUGAACUUGUAUACUUUUUGUAGCGAUGAAACUUUGUGAUGUCCACGGUCCAUGCCGAACUUGCGUAACGCUACUUUGUUAGUUGGCGUACGAUGACCUGCGUACCUCUAGUUAAUUAAUUUGCGUACUGUAUAUGUUGCAUCUAGUUGCUAACCUUUCUUUUUUGGUGUUGCUCUAGUAUAUUUUUUUGCAUAUAUAUGAUUGUACAUCCUCUUCAUGAACAUGCAUCUCUAACAGGUACCUAGUUUCUUGAUGGCGAGAUGGAAAUGCUAUGUCGUGUACAAAGGGAAGGUUCCGGGGGUGUACAACGAGUGGCAUGAGUGUCAGGCGCAAGUGAAUGGGUUCACGGGCGCCAGCCAUAAAGGCUUCAAAAGUAGACAAGAAGGAGAAGCUAGUUACUUGAGGUUCAAGCUAGCGCGAGAGAGGACUCGUAACGGCCACCUCAUGUACUGCAUGGUUCCGCUCUCACUCAUAGUGAUAGCACUUCUUGCGUAUGCCUUUGUUUAGAUGGAUGACGUUGUUGUAGUUGCAAGUAUUCGAGACUUGCAUGUAUUGCUAUUUUCGAGAUGAUAACAAGAUAUCACUUUGUGUUGGAUGAUGAUUAUGAAGAGACUAUUUGUAUGUACAUGCUAUGAUUACAUUUGUGGUCUCGCAGGCAUUUGUAUGUGUAUCAUGAUGAAAUUUCUAUGUGCUAAAGAUUCUUCUACAAAGCCGGUGCAAAUACAAAACAAAUAUGCCAAAAAAAACUACUUAAAUUAGCAGUAGCGAGUGUACAAAAGUUAGCAGCAGCGCCGUUAUAGCAGUAGCGCGUCCCGCCAAAGAGCGCUAGCGCUAAUAGCGGUAGCGAGCUUCCGGCAACCGCGCUGCUGUUACACUUGUAUAGCAGUAGCGAUGGGGGGCACGCGCUACUGCUAUUAGUUAGCUGUAAUGCCGUAUUAGUAGCGCGGGUACCCGCGCUACUGAUACAUGUAAAACCCGCGCUGCUGCUAGCCUUUUCCCUAGUAGUGU